rnacentral:rRNA from 1 species
UACGUAGGUGGCGAGCGUUGUCCGGAUUUACUGGGCGUAAAGGGCGUGCAGGCGGUUUGUUAAGUGCAGGGUGAAAGCUCCCGGCUCAACUGGGAGAGGUCCUUGCAUACUGGCGAACUCGAGGGAGGCAGAGGAAAGUGGAAUUCCCGGUGUAGUGGUGAUAUGCGUAGAUAUCGGGAGGAACACCUGUGGCGAAGGCGGUUCUCUGGGCAUUACCUGACGCUGAGGAGCGAAAGUGUGGGGAGCGAACAGG